CAGUCGCCGCGGUAAUACGAAGGGUGCAAGCGCUAAUCGGAAUUACUGGGCGUAAAGCGUGCGUAGGCGGUGAGUUAAGUCUGCUGUGAAAUCCCCGGGCUCAACCUGGGAAUGGCAAUGGAUACUGGCAAGCUAGAGUGUGUCAGAGGAUGGUGGAAUUCCCGGUGUAGCGGUGAAAUGCGUAGAGAUCGGGAGGAACAUCAGUGGCGAAGGCGGCCAUCUGGGACAACACUGACGCUGAGGCACGAAAGCGUGGGGAGCAAACAGGAUUAGAUACCCGUGUAGUCCCUGUCUCUUAUAA
rnacentral:rRNA from 1 species